GCGGAUGUAGCCAAGUGGAUCGAGGCAUUGGAUUGUGAAUCCACCAUGUGCAGGUUCAAUUCCCGUCGUUCGCC
rnacentral:tRNA from 1 species